rnacentral:rRNA from 1 species
UACGUAGGGGGCAAGGCGUUGUCCGGAUUUAUUGGGCGUAAAGAGCAGUGUAGGCGGUUUGGGUAGGUCCGCUGUGAAAACUCGAAGGCUCAACCUCGAGACGUCGGUUGGAAACCGUCUGGCUAGAGUCCGGAAGAGGAGAGUGGGAAUUCCCGGUGAUAGCGGUGAAAUGACGCAGAGUAUCGGGAAGAACACCCGUGGCGAAGGCGGCUCUCGUGGGACGGUACGUGGCGCUGAGACGCGAAAGCGUGGGGAGCGAACGAGG